UACGAAGGGGGCUAGCGUUGCUCGGAAUCACUGGGCGUAAAGCGCACGUAGGCGGACUCUUAAGUCGGUGGUGAAAUCCUGGAGCUCAACUCCAGAACUGCCUUCGAUACUGAGAGUCUCGAGUCCGGGAGAGGUGAGUGGAACUGCGAGUGUAGAGGUGAAAUUCGUAGAUAUUCGCAAGAACACCAGUGGCGAAGGCGGCUCACUGGCCCGGUAUUGACGCUGAGGUGCGAAAGCGUGGGGAGCAAACAGG
rnacentral:rRNA from 1 species